UACGUAGGGGGCGAGCGUUGUCCGGAUUUAUUGGGCGUAAAGAGCGUGUAGGCGGCCAGGUAGGUCUGCUGUGAAAACUCGAGGCUCAACCUCGAGACGUCGGCGGAAACCAUCUGGCUAGAGUCCGGAAGAGGAGAGUGGAAUUCCUGGUGUAGCGGUGAAAUGCGCAGAUAUCAGGAAGAACACCCGUGGCGAAGGCGGCUCUCUGGGACGGUACUGACGCUGAGACGCGAAAGCGUGGGGAGCGAAUGGG
rnacentral:rRNA from 1 species